CCUACGGGGGGCUGCAGUAGGGAAUUUUCGUCAAUGGGCGCAAGCCUGAACGAGCAAUGCCGCGUGAACGAGGAAGGUCUUCGGAUCGUAAAGUUCUGUUGAAGGGGAAAAAGAGCGGAGAGAGGAAAUGAACUCCGAUUGAUAUUAACAUUAGAGGAGGUCACGGCUAACUACGUGCAAGCAGCGGCGGUAAUACGUAGGUGGCGAGCGUUAUCCGGUAUGAUGGGGAGUAAAGGGUGAGUAGGCGGCCUGCAAAGUCUGGAGGGAAAGGUACCGGCUCAACCGGUACAGGCUCUGGAAACUGGCGGGCUAGAGAGCAGGAGAGGGGGGCGGAACUCCAUGUGUAGCGGUGAAAUGCGUAGAUAUAUGGAAGAACACCAGUGGCGAAGGCGGCCUCCUGGACUGUUACUGACGCUGAGGCACGAAAGCGUGGGGAGCAAAUAGGAUUAGAUACCCGGGUAGUC
rnacentral:rRNA from 1 species